AUGGUGCGGGAUAGCCCAGGGGAAACUUGGGUAAUACCGCAUAAGCCCUUAGGGGGAAAGAUUUAUCGCCAUUGGAUGGGCCCGCGUCGGAUUAGCUAGUUGGUGAGGUAAUGGCUCACCAAGGCAACGAUCCGUAGCUGGUUUGAGAGAAUGACCAGCCACACUGGGACUGAGACACGGCCCAGACUCCUACGGGAGGCAGCAGUGGGGAAUCUUGGACAAUGGGCGCAAGCCUGAUCCAGCCAUGCCGCGUGAGUGACGAAGGCCUUAGGGUUGUAAAGCUCUUUUGCCGGGGACGAUAAUGACGGUACCCGGAGAAUAAUCC
rnacentral:rRNA from 1 species